UCCCUGCUGGCUCAGCAGGUAAAGCGUCUGCCUGCAAUGCAGGAGCCCUGGGUUCGAUCCCCAAGUUGGGAA